rnacentral:rRNA from 1 species
AAAGGAAUUGACGGGACCCCGCACAAGCGGUGGAUUAUGUUGUUUAAUUCGAAGAUACACGAAGAACCUUACCAGGUCUUGACAUCCUCUGCAAAGCUAUAGAGAUAUAGUGGAGGUUAACAGAGAGACAGGUGGUGCAUGGUUGUCGUCAGCUCGUGUCGUGAGAUGUUGGGUUAAGUCCCGCAACGAGCGCAACCCUUAUUGCUAGUUACCAUCAUUUAGUUGGGGACUCUAGCGAGACUGCCAGUGAUAAACUGGAGGAAGGUGGGGAUGACGUCAAAUCAUCAUGCCCUUUAUGACCUGGGCUACAAACGUAAUACAAUGGCUAUGACAAAGAGAUGCAAGACCGCGAGGUGGAGCAAAACUCACAAAGAUAGUCUCAGUUCGGAUUGAAGUCUGCAACUCGACUUCAUGAAGUUGGAAUCGCUAGUAAUCGCAAAUCAGAAAGUUGCGGUGAAUACGUUCUCGGGGUUUGCACACACCGCCCGU